CCUGACUCACAGUGCAAGACAUCCCAACUCGGGUCCAUCCGGGUAAACACCGCCGCCGCCCUUGGCAGGAUCCCUUUUGGCGGCUUCGAUCUAGGAAAAAGAGGAGCGGAAGGAGAGAAGUACUGGUCUAUGACUCGGGUCAUGGGGAUGGAUGGAUCUCUCGGUAAUGGUGGAUCCAGAGUUCCAGACUCAGUUCAUCUUAUAGGCUUAAUUCAUACUGUAUCAUUUUGAUGAAUACGUUGCUCCCCUAUUUUUUCUACAAUCAAGAUGAUUUUCCUCUGUGGGGUAUGCAUAUCAUCUUCUUUCGUUUUCGUUAGAACAUAUCAUAUUUUGUUUGACAGGCAGGUACAACGAUGGCAAUAUUUGUUUUCAUCAGAAGUAUAUUUUCAUGAGAUACAAUGGCAAUCAGGUUUGUGUUUCAUGAGCUUUGUUCAUAUCACUGCUUCUCCCUAAUCCGCCUUCACUCUAAUGCAUGGCCACCCAAAAUUGUCUUCUCCUCGGUUUGUAGGCGGCACAUGCAGAAGAGUUGUGGAAGGUUGAUUGAGAAGUCAUAAGGACUGGGUGAAGCAAAAUGCAAUCUCCAAGGUUAGGUUACCUCUCAAUGCCCGUGAUGAUAUGAGUGCAACUAAACUAAUAUUUGUUUGUUGUGAUCUAUGGUUCCCACCUGCCAUGCUCAUAUAUUUCUGUUUCCACAUGAUAUGUCUUCUAUAUUAAAUUAUAGUCUUUGAUACAAUAAGUUAUUCCUUCAAAUUUAACAGUCUAGGAAGAAUCUGAAUAUGGCAACGAUUUCUUUCUUUCCUAAGCACUCCUCUCCUAUUAAAACCCAGCAUAUGCUGAACCACUGCUGCUUUAAUGUCUAAAUCUUUUGGUUUAUAGUUUAUGGCAAACCAAAUUAUGAAUCAAGUGUUCAUCUCUGAAGUUCAUAACAGUGGUCGGUUUUUAGUGUGUCUAAAGGAAAUGCACCAAGCUUUUGUACUGAAAGAUUAUCCUGACAUGGGAUUUUUUAUUCUUGAAUGAACACGGUAGCCUUUAUUAUUACUUUUAGAGAAGAUGUACACAGCUAGGAUACAGAACUACAUUCUUACUAUGAUUGGCUUAAUGCAACUAAGAUCAAGGCUCCACGAGGCUAUGUUGAUUUGUUAAAUUCCUUUCAGUUUCAGGUUUCAAAAUGAGAAAUUGGAGCAUUGAGACCUUUGAACUGAAACCUAAAUAAAGGUAUACAUAUUUAUGUUGGUCUAAAACCACCAUGUUUUAUCUGUAGAAAAUAGAAAUCGCCGUUCGGUUUCAUUUACAAAUUAAAUUAAACUAUAGACAUAGUCCACGACAUCGGGACAAAUAGAGUAACUAAUUAUAUGUAUGUUUUUUCCAGCAAAGAACUUAUUAUAAAACGGGACACCAGAAAAUCCAGUGGGAAAUUGAGGGGCUCCCCUCUUCGUAAAAAAGUUAC
rnacentral:lncRNA from 1 species